rnacentral:miRNA from 1 species
AUUACUAAGUUGGUGCAAAAGUAAUUGUGGUUUUUACCAUUUAAAAAUAAUGGCUCAAACUGCGAUUACUUUUGCACUUACCAAAUAAUUCACUCCU